CACUACCUUGACCACCAUUUCGCUUUCUUGCUCUCGCCGCCACCAACAACAUAUCAAAUCUUGAAUCCUUCCUUGCUCACAAACCCCCAAAAUCUUCAUCUCCUAGCUUUCUUGCUCGUCCUGAUCUGUGAAGCCCCUGAGUGUAUGCGCACAAAGCGACUCGUGGGAUUCUAGAUGGCUCCCAAGAGAUCUAGCGGAAAGGGAAAAGAGAAGGAAGGAGCCAGCAUCGCCCCAACUCUGGAUGAUGGAUGGUUAGCAAGUAAGUGUACUGAAUCCGACAUCCUUUCCCUUGUCGAUGAGUGUCUGCUGCAGCCUCAUUCUAUCAUCAAGUGGCGGCCUAAGUUAGGUCAUAGUCGCCCAUUUGAAGGGACGAAUGCAAUAGUUAUUUUUUUCCUCCUUUGUCUAGCGCGGAUUUGGGAUUCCCACUUUUGAUUUUUCUUUCUCGGACUUCUUUUUCAUUGGGGUAUUCAAGCACAUCACUUGAACCCUAACUCCAUCUUCGUGCAUCUGUGCGAAGCAUUUCUAGGCAUCGAGCCCCAUUUCGAUCUUUUCAGCACUUGUUCCAUCGCAAGCCUCAGCCCAGUAGCGAGGGUCAAUAUGUUGUUGGUGGUGCCGGUCUUCAACUAUGCCAUGGGAUGGAAAAAACUCUAUAUCCCUUACAAGUUGUCUAGCAAGGUAAUUGACUGGAAAUCCAAGUGGUUUUAUGUCAAGAACCAUGCUCCUCCACUACCGAGUAGGAUACCCGGUGUUCCCCAAUACCGUGGCGAAUGGACUACAAAGCCUCAGAGCCUGUUCCAACUAAACGAUCUGCUGGAUUGGAUUAAGGAUUUAAAGAAGGAACAUCUGAUUGGAGCUUCAGUUGUGAUGUCUUGGAUGAGCCGUCGGAUCCAGCCAUUGCAGCAACGAAGCCAUUUUGGAUUCUACUAUAUAUAGGCGUAACUGAUCCUUCCCGCUUCACUUCGGAGAAGAUUUCUGAAAAGGAAAUGGUGCGUCGAGUGCGUCGAGUACUCGAUGGAGUGCUUGGUGUCCCAGUAGUACCAGACGUCUUUAACAUAAAGGAUCCUCCCAAAAAGGAGGAUAUAAAUGUGUAUGGGAGUAGCCCACCGGUGCCAGAGGUUUGGCGUCCUGAGCAUCUUCUCCCAAGUGCACAUACACCAAACCCACUUCCAUCAGAAGGAGAUAUUGAAGAAUCGAGGAUGACGUCGAGCUCUGAAUUUGAUUAGAGUUUCUCCUCUGCAGACUCUAAAGAAGGAACUGGAGUGGGUGGCAUGGACAGGAGUCCCAGUAUGGAGAGGUACUCAAGCACGGGUCACCCCAAAGCACUAAGGACGACAACGGUCAAGCGUAGGGCCGCAACCUCAGUUAGAGAAACUAGCCCAAAGCAUUCAGAGCUGAGGGUUGAGGCAACCAGGGAUGAUUUGGGGCAGAUAUAGAUGCAUCACUUGCCUCAGCAGACUUGUCGAGUGAUGCCGGGGCCACUCUGCCGGAGCAAUUGAUGCCGGCAAGUGGUUCUGAAGAAAAAACACCUCCAGAGCCAGCUGCUGUGCAUGGUAAAGAGGCUCUCUCUGCCCAGCAAGAUAUUCCUACGGGUGGGGAGGAGAGUGUGAGCCCCCGGCAGGUGCUACUGCCCUCUGCAUCGAGUGCUUUGGUGAUCAUGCCGGUCCCAAAGCUGUUCAGGGCAAGGAAGCUUCCAAUCAACAAGUCGACCUACAAGGCAACCGAUUUGGGCAUCGGGGAUGCUGACCAUGGCAUUUCGAUGCCUGCUUCUAAGCCCAUCCCAAUGACUGUGUUGCCAUUGCCAGCCACACUGCCAGUGGACGCGGAAGCUGCUGCAGAGGAGGCAACUGCCAAGGGAGUAGAUGUCCCAGCUGCUGAGGAGCCAGCAUCGCUUGAAGUAAGCGACGCCCUUCUGCAGCUGGAAGCUCCAGAUCUCCCUGCCAGUAAACCGAUCGCACCUCCUCCAGUAGAUUGCAACCAAUUUCCUAUUGCUCGGUUGUUUCAUCUGGUCGGGACAAUAGGUCUAGGACCUCAGUGUUGGGUAGCUGAGGAAUGAGAGGUCAUGGAAGUUGGAGCCGAAAGGGAGGUUGCUCCUCCACCGACCAGAGAGGAUUCACCUGCAGCAGUUCCUAAUCAAAAGGUCUCCCAUUGACGGGGGACAAAAUUAAGUUAAUGCAACAGAAUAUGGCUGAAUGCCAGAAGUUUUUGACUGAACUAGCCGGUUAUGAGGCUGCAAAGUCUCAGGAGCUGGAGAGGUUCAAAGCUGUGCAGGGCCGAGAGAACCAGCUCCUGAAGGAACAAAUAACGAAGCUUGUAGAGGACAAGAAGACUCUCGAGGAGAGAAAUAAGUCACUGUAAGAGAGGAACAAGUUUAUCUCCAAGAACCACAAAGAUGAUUUGGAGAUAUUCAACAAGAUGUUGAAAGAUGGGGACAACCAGCUCCUUGAAGCGCUAUGCAGCAAAUCAAAGAGAUGGCCAAACAAAAAGAUCUUCGGGAGAAAGAGCUCGAGGAGCUAAAGACUGCUGCACAGGCCGUGGUUGAUAUGGUGGAUCCACCCAAGGAGGGAACUGUACAAGACAAGACUCUGUUGGAGCGUCUGCAAGGAGCUCCGCAGAAGAUCGUCAAGUACCUCUCAGACACCAGCCGGCAGUGCGUGUCUCAUGUACUCGGCUUGGUGAAAUUCUAUUGGCCAAAGACGAAUCUGAUCCCUCUCGGAGAAGGCAUGUCUGUGGAAUGAACAGAGCAGAAAUUUGACGACUUUGUGGAGGAAGUGAAGCCAAUAGCUGACAGGAACGUGGAUGUCUUGGAGCAAGAGCUUGAUGCAGAGUCUUAGUCCAUCACGUAGAGUAAAACUUUGUGUAAGCCUUGAUACAAUACUGAUCUGUAUGAUGUAAUUGCGAGAACAUAAUGUUUGCGAUGUGGUGUACAGCUUGUGUU